rnacentral:rRNA from 1 species
CGCCUUGCCAGCCCGCUCAGAAACUUAAAGGAAUUGACGGGGGCCCGCACAAGCGGUGGAGCAUGUGGUUUAAUUCGAUGGUACGCGAGAAACCUUACCAGGGCUUGACAUACGCUGGAAGCGGUCCGAAAGGAUCGUGCCGCUUGCGGCCGGCGUACAGGUGCUGCAUGGCUGUCGUCAGCUCGUGCUGUGAAGUGUUGGGUUAAGUCCCGCAACGAGCGCAACCCCUAUCUUUAGUUGCCAUCAGUUCGGCUGGGCACUCUAUGGAGACUGCCACCUAAAGUGGAGGAAGGUGGGGAUGACGUCAAGUCAGCAUGGCCCUUACGUCCGGGGCUACACACGUGCUACAAUGGCCGGUACAAAGGGUUGCGAAGCCGUGAGGUGGAGCGAAUCUCAAAAAGCCGGCCUCAGUUCGGAUUGGAGGCUGCAACUCGCCUCCAUGAAGUCGGAAUCGCUAGUAACCGCAGAUCAGCUACGUUGCGGUGAAUACGUUCCCGGGCCUU